CCCCUUCCCUUCUGUUUUGUCUUCAGCAAGUGAAAUGCAUGCUCAAUCGGGUUGAGAUUCAGUGAUUGACUAGGCCAUUGCGUAAUAUUCCACUUGUUUGCCUUAAAAAACUUCUGGGUUGCUUUCGC